GCAAUCAUCACCGGUCAUAAUGUUUGAAUCAAUAAUGUUGAUCUCCUCCGACCGUCCAAUGUGAAUUCCAUCCGUGUUGGGACUAUGCCCCGGCGCUUUCACCGAAAAUCGCUGGAAGGUAAGGUUUUUGCUGCCGAGGAGAUUGACGUGGAACUGCUUGCUAUCUAUGGAUGUCACGUCCUCGACUAUGCUGUUGGUGACGAAGUCAAACGUUAGGUUCUGAUACAGUUUUGAUAGAACAGUUACGCAGAGAAAACGUAGUUAGUAUUAUUGCCAUGAACGGGCCUAUGAAUGACCGUUAGUAAAGUAGCGUUCGGAUUUUCUUACAACUGGAAGUGCUUUCUUGCAUCCGCCGCCACAGCUCUUCCGCUGCCAAGCAAUUUCUCCUUGUCCGUCGAAGGCCCCACCACCGGAUACCGUUAAUCGGUCCAUGUAUCUCAAUGUAACCCACCUAUUCUUGCGGUGCUGGCUAGCUUUUUCUGGCGCCACCAACGUUCCUUCCACUUGAAGAUGCAUGGCACCCUUGCAAGUGCCUAACAAAUCCACCACGCCUAAUGAGUACUUCCCUUUUGGUAUCACGACUUUGCCGGAACCCGCUGCUGCACAAGCCCCCUUCCACGCACUCAGUAAAGUCUAAAAACGAAAAUGGCAAUGAAAGACCUGACAGCAAUAAUCUAGGAAAUACCGUCGCGAUAUCGAGAACCGAGUUUACUUUCAUACCUUAGUGAUAUCCGACCCCUCCUUCGCACCAUAUUUUGAGACAUCAAAGGUAUUGGGCUGAGCUCCGCUGGUAAAGGCGAACAGUAACACCAAAUAUGCUGCGCACACAUGUACCUUGGACCCCAUAUCUCUCUUUUCAAGGCGCUUCCUCUCUUUCGAUAUCUACAGCCUAUAUUGAUUUCUAAAUGUUUGUGCAUUUAUCCUCCUCUGUAAGGCCUUUUAUAUUUCAGGCGGCUCGUUUAAUUUACUCAAGGUUUAUUACAGGCUGUAGCAUUUUCAUACAUCUCGUUUUCCUUUUUGUUGUGCUUUAAAUGUUUUGAGCUUAAAAAAAAAAAAGCCUACGUACGCUAACCUGCAACUAAAAACUACAACUUCCGCAUUUCUCUCUAACAUAUUCUUUUAUAUUGGAACCCUUUAUAACUUAUGCAACAACCUCUUCGUUCUCCCACAAUAUUCUGGACGUAUUGGACGCGAAACGAGCCCGGAGACCGCACCCGCAAUUCAUUUCCUCACGCGUGCAUGUAGGACAAAAUUUUGACAAGUACAGUGCAACAUGAAAAGAGGAAAACAGAAAAAGAAAAAAAGAACUAACAGGCCGUUAUUCCGUCUUUUCUCCUUUGGUACCUGACGGCGCAUCGUAUUAUUUUACGUGUACUUAAUUUUAGCGUCGAAAAUAUACUCAGCUUCGAUUUUAAUUAUUUAUUUAUAAUGGAACGCAAAUAUAAAAAAGAAAAAAAAAAGAAAAGGAAAAGAAAGAAAGAAAUUCACAAUAAUAAUCUCCGAACAUCUUAAUAUGAGACUUCAUCUCUUCACAACAGGAUAUAUGUAUAUAUAUUUCUCCUUUUUCCCGAAACAAAUAAAUACUUCUUGAAUAAAUGAAUAAAGAAUUGAAAAAAGAAUUAGCACAGUUACAUAGCCGAUCACGGAUAAAUGGUUUAUUAGGAAAAUAAAUUAUGCUAGAAAAGCGAAAGGAUAAAUAUUUAGAACAACCUGAUAUAUAUUUUUGAACAGCAUUAUUUUAAUUGAAAAGGAAAAUGAAUUUUGAAUUAUAAUGCUAAGCCCAUGACUACAGGAAAAUAAAUUCCAUUAUAUCAAAUUUAUUAAUUUCAAAUUAUAGCGUUUCAAUUAAAAAGUAUCAUCUUGAACUUUGAUAUAGUUGAAUUUUAACACCGCAACAUAAUUUACAGCGCGUUUUAAUUUUGAAUUUUGACACUAUUAAAUUACUAAGUUCAUUCAAUAAUAUAUCUUUUAUUAUUUCAUCUUGCAUUCCAAGUUUUAUAUGUUGAUUAACUUUUCAAAUAGAAAUAGAGGACUUAAAGAAGUAUUUAUAUAGUAUUUAAUAUCAAUUGAUUUUCUUUUAAUAUAUCUUUUAAUAUCAAUUGAUAUAUUCAGUAAUUGGUGAGCUUUUAUAUUUGUUUAAGUAAAAUGAAGCACAUUGUUUAAUAGGUAAAUUUUUUACAUUGAUUUUCUAUUUUGGAUAGAGCUAAAUUGAAAUCAUAUCUGACAAUGUUCAUUUAAACUUAAAAAGCGUAAUGAUAGUCUUGUAAAAUUACUAUACUGUGCGUCAGACAAAUGAGAAUCAUUCUCCGUUUCAAUUAAGAAUCAACAAGUGAGUGCAUUAACAUCCUCUCGGAAUCAAUUUUCCUAUAAUCUUAGGCUUAACAUUUGUACAAAUAGAUUUUGCAGGACCCUUAGAUCCGGUGUACUGGAGGUUAACGUUAGAAAGUUCAACGUUCUUGCAUGGUACGCUGCUGCUGCAUGUCAAUUGAACGGCUGUGGGCGUUCUUGACGAUCCUCGUAUAUUCUUGAAGAUGACGUCGCUUAUUUUAACUUUUGAUGGCAUCUGCAAAAAGUCGCAAUAUUUUAGCAUAAUUGUAACACACCCAUAUUUAUAAAUUCUCCUUAUUGUUGUGAAAAAAUAAAAAUUGAAAAGUUACCUUGCGAUUGCAUUCGUUAUGCGGGCAGUACAUUUGAUCUAUAAUGAUGGGAUUGCUGACGUUUUGCAUGACGAUAUCCUCGAACUGGACAUUCGACACACUGCCACCAUGCAAUGCGGGCCAAGUCUUAAUUCUCACACCAUUGUCGUUGUCGUAUAUUGUCCAAUUCUUCACAUAAAUUCCAGACACAGGUUCUUCCUUCUCGUACUUUCCUAAACUUCCAAUACUAAUGCCAUGCCCGUGUCCGCACCUUACGUUUGUGAUUCGUACUUGCCUGCUCCCCCGGCCAAUGGAGAUGCAAUCAUCACCGGUCAUAAUGUUUGAAUCAAUAAUGUUGAUCUCCUCCGACCGUCCAAUGUGAAUUCCAUCCGUGUUGGGACUAUGCCCCGGCGCUUUCACCGAAAAUCGCUGGAAGGUAAGGUUUUUGCUGCCGAGGAGAUUGACGUGGAACUGCUUGCUAUCUAUGGAUGUCACGUCCUCGACUAUGCUGUUAGUGACGAAGUCAAACCUUAGGUUCUGAUACAGUUUUGAUAGAACAGUUACGCAGAGAAAACGUAGUUAGUAUUACUGCCAUGAACGGGCCUAUGAAUGACCGUUAGUAAAGUAGCGUUUGGAUUUUCUUACAACUGGAAGUGCUUUCUUGCAUCCGCCGCCACAGCUCUUCCGCUGCCAAGCAAUUUCUCCUUGUCCGUCGAAGGCCCCACCACUGGAUACCGUUAAUCGGUCCAUGUAUCUCAAUGUAACCCAGCUAUUCUUGCGGUGCUAGCUAGCUUUUGCUGGCGCCACCAACGUUCCUUCCACUUGAAGAUGCAUGGCACCCUUGCAAGGGCCUAGCAAAUCCACCACGCCUAACGAGUACUUCCCUUUUGGUAUCACGACUUUGCCGGAACCCACUGCUCCACAAGCCCCCUUCCACGCACUCAGUAAAGCCUAAAAACGAAAACGGCAAUGAAAGACCUGACAGCAAUAAUCUAGGAAAUACAGUCGCGAUAUCGAGAACCGAGUUUACUUUCAUACCUUAGUGAUAUCCGACCCCUCCUUCACACCAUAUUUUGUGACAUCAAAGGUAUUGGGCUGAGCUCCGCUGGUAAAGGCAAACAGUAACACCAAAUAUGCUGCGCACACAUGUACCUUGGAACCCAUAUCUCUCUUUUCAAGGCGCUUCGUCUCUUUCGAUAUCUACAGCCUAUAUUGAUUUCUAAAUGUUUGUGCAUUUCUCCUCCUCUGUAAGGCCUUUUAUAUUUCAGGCGGCUCGUUUAAUUUACUCAAGGUUUAUUACAGGCUGUAGCAUUUUCAUACAUCCCGUUUUCUGUUUUUCCUUUUUGUUUUGCGUUAAAUGUUUUGAGCUUAAAAAAAAAAGCCUACGUACGCUAACCUGCAACUAAAAACUACAACUUCCGCAUUUCUCUCUAACAUAUUCUUUUAUAUUGGAACCCUUUAUAACUUAUGCAACAAUCUCUUCGUUCUCCCACAAUAUUCUGGACGUAUUGGACGCGAAACGAGCCCGGAGACCGCACCCGCAAUUCAUUUCCUCACGCGUGCAUGUAGAACAAAAUUUUGACAAGUACAGUGCAACAUGAAAAGAGGAAAACAGAAAAAUAAAAAAAGAACUAACAGGCCGUUAUUCCGUCUUUUCUCCUUUGGUACCUGAAGGCGCAUCGUAUUAUUUUACGUGUACUUGAUUUUAGCGUCGAAAAUAUGCUCAGCUUCGAUUUUAAUUAUUUAUUUAUAAUGGAACGCAAAUAUAAAAAAGAAAAAAAAAGAAAAGGAAAAGAAAGAAAGAAAUUCACAAUAAUAAGAACAUCUUAAUAUGAGACUUCAUCUCUUCACAAUGGGAUAUAUGUAUAUAUAUUUCUCCUUUUUUCCGAAACAAAUAAAUACUUCUUGAAUAAAUGAAUAAAGAAUUGAAAAAAGAAUCAGCACAGUUACAUAGCCGAUCACGGAUAAAUGGUUUAUUAGGAAAAUAAAUUAUGCUAGAAAAGCGAAAGGAUAAAUAUUUAGAACAACCUGAUAUAUAUUUUUGAACAGCAUUAUUUUAAUUGAAAAGGAAAAUGAAUUUUGAAUUAUAAUGCUAAGCCUAUGACUACAGGAAAAUAAAUUUUAUUAUAUCAAAUUUAUUAAUUUCAAAUUAUAGCGUUUCAAUUAAAAAUAUCAUCUUGAACUUUGAUAUAGUUGAAUUUUAACACCGCAACAUAAUUUACAGCGCGUUUUAAUUUUGAAUUUUGACACUAUUAAAUUACUAAGUUCAUUCAAUAAUAUAUCUUUUAUUAUUUCAUCUUGCAUUCCAAGUUUUAUAUGUUGAUUAACUUUUCAAAUAGAAAUAGAGGACUUAAAGAAGUAUUUAUAUAGUAUUUAAUAUCAAUUGAUUUUCUUUUAAUAUAUCUUUUAAUAUCAAUUGAUAUAUUCAGUAAUUGGUGAGCUUUUAUAUUUGUUUAAGUAAAAUGAAGCACAUUGUUUAAUAGGUAAAUUUUUUAAAUUGAUUUUCUAUUUUGGAUAGAGCUAAAUUGAAAUCAUAUCUGACUAUGUUCAUUUAAAUUUAAAAAGUGUAAUGAUAGUCUUGUAAAAUUACUAUACUGUGCGUCAGACAAAUGAGAAACAUUCUCCGUUUAAAUUAAGAAUCAAAAGUGAGUGCAUUAACAUCCUCUCGGAAUCAACUUUCCUAUAAUCUUAGGCUUAACAUUUGUACAAAUAGAUUUUGCAGGACCCUUAGAUCCGGUGUACUGGAGGUUAACGUUAGAAAGUUCAACGUUCAUGCAUGGUACGCUGCUGCUGCAUGUCAAUUGAACGGCUGUGGGCGUUCUUGACGAUCCUCGAAUAUUCUUGAAAAUGACGUCGCUUAUUUUAACUUUUGAUGGCAUCUGCAAAAAGUCGCAAUAUUUUAGCAUAAUUGUAACACACCCAUAUAUAUAAAUUCUCCUUCUUGUUAUGAAAAAAUAAAAAUUGAGAAGUUACCUUGCGAUUGCAUUCGUUAUGCGGGCAGUACAUUUGAUCUAUAAUGAUGGGAUUGCUGACGUUUUGCAUGACGAUAUCCUCGAACUGGAUAUUCGACACACUGCCACCAUGCAAUGCGGGCCAAGUCUUAAUUCUCACGCCAUUGUCGGUGUCGUAUAUUGUGCAAUUCUUCACAUAAAUUCCAGACACAGGUUCUUCCUUCUCGUACUUUCCUAAACUUCCAAUACUAAUGCCAUGCCCGUGUCCGCACCUUACGUUUGUGAUUCGUACUCGCCUGCUCCCCCGGCCAAUGGAGAUGCAAUCAUCACCGGUGAUAAUGUUUGAAUUAAUAAUGUUGAUCUCCUCCGACCGUUUAAUGUGAAUUCCAUCCGUGUUGGGACUAUGCCCCGGCGCUUUCACCGAAAAUCGCUGGAACGUAAGGUUUUUGCUGCCGAGGAGAUUGACGUGGAACUGCUUGCUAUCUAUGGAUGUCACGUCCUCGACUAUGCUGUUGGUGACG
rnacentral:lncRNA from 1 species